rnacentral:lncRNA from 1 species
GAAAAUAUAACUAGCCAUCCUCUGGGGACCAAGCUUCCUGUUGUGAAUGCUGGUUGGGAUAUUGAAAACUACCACUUUUGGACUCUCAUGGACUCAAAUUCAAAUUGUGGGAGCUUUAAAUGCAUUACUGUUUUCCUGGUGAUAUUAGAUGUCUAUUAAUCAUGGAACUUCAUGGUCUCAGAUGAACCAAAAUAUCAGAAGAACUAAAGGAUGAAUGAUAGCUGGGGCAUAUUACCAAUGUGGCUAUGAAAAAAAGACCGUAAGAAAAGUUAUUGAGGACAUACAUGUCCAGAGAAGGAAGGGCAAGGAGUCAAACUGGCAACAAAGAUGGAAAGGACAAAUGCAAGAAACUAAGUAUAUACAGAAGAAAAUGUAAUCUCAUGAAUUUUGAGAAGUUUCAAAAAUGAAUAAAAGAAAGAAAGAUCAAGAAAGGGUGUGGAAA